CCUACGGGGGGCAGCAGUGAGGAAUAUUGGUCAAUGGGCUUACGCCUGAACCAGCCAAGUCGCGUGAGGGAAGACUGCCCUAUGGGUUGUAAACCUCUUUUGUCAGGGAGCAACGCCGGCUACGUGUAGCCGGACUGAGAGUACCUGAAGAAAAAGCAUCGGCUAACUCCGUGCCAGCAGCCGCGGUAAUACGGAGGAUGCGAGCGUUAUCCGGAUUUAUUGUGUUUAAAGGGUGCGUAGGCGGAAUGCCAAGUCAGCGGUAAAAUCGCGGGGCUCAACCUCGCUCCGCCGUUGAAACUGGCGUGCUUGAGUGGGCGAGAAGUAUGCGGAAUGCGUGGUGUAGCGGUGAAAUGCAUAGAUAUCACGCAGAACUACGAUUGCGAAGGCAGCAUACCGGCGCCCAACUGACGCUGAAGCACGAAAGCGUGGGUAUCGAACAGGAUUAGAUACCCUUGUAGUC
rnacentral:rRNA from 1 species